rnacentral:ncRNA from 1 species
UUAAAGGCGAUUAAGGAGACUAGUAGGAAAACAGUUGUCUUUCAGAGAGUGGGUGCAGGCUGAAAACCCACGUCAACUUUUUUUGAAUCCACUCUGGAGCCUCCAUGUUGAAAUUGCAGUAGGCAUGGACGUAUGUCUGCGUUAAAGAUUUGAGAAGGGCCUAAUAAUAGGCCAAUUAGGGUGGCAACGCGGAAGAAUACAGGCUUUCGUCCCUUUC